GAUUUCCACUAAUAGUUGGUGCGUUGUAACCUCACAGUUGGAUUGACUCGGACUUUAUCCCAGGAUUGACAUUAUUCGGGGUAGUCAAGCUGCAGUCCUCGUAGAGGUCGGACGUGCCAACUGUCACAUCUAUGCCCAAUUACAGCAAUAUCGGAACUUGGACGAGUCCAUUGUUGACAGUGGGCGGGGAAGUAUAAAAGAAAGUGUGACCUACGCAGCUUGGCUACCGUCCCUUGUUAUUAAGACAGGAUGGAGACAAAACUUAAUUGUUUUGAGACUAGAUAAAAGACAACUUCAGAUGUGAGUAAUUUCAGUCUGAGUUAACAUUUAUUCUGUCCAGAUUAAGACAGGAUUCACAACGAUGAAACCGAAUACUUAUUCAGUCUAAGGCUGGAAAGAAAAUUAGAAGGACAUAAACGAAUCCUUCAAGAGAAAGAGGGAGGGAGUGUAGUGGAAAGUAGAUUUCCACUAAUAGUUGGUGCGUUGUAACCUCACAGUUGGAUUGACUCGGACUUUAUCCCAGGAUUGACAUUAUUCGGGGUAGUCAAGCUGCAGUCCUCGUAGAGGUCGGACGUGCCAACUGUCACAUCUAUGGUAAGGGCCUAUUGCAUUGAAGACUUAGGUUAGGGAAAAUA